rfam:Homo sapiens chromosome 17, GRCh38 reference primary assembly.
GCCGGGCGUGGUGGCUCAUGCCUGUAAUCCCAGCACUUUGGGAGGCCGAGGUGGGAGGAUUGCUUGAGUCCAGGAAUUUGAGACCAGCCUGGACAACACAGUGAGACCUCAUCUCUA